UUAGGUAUAAAUAGAUUAGAUUGUUUACCAGAGUACUACGAAUAAAACCGUUUAAAACUCAAAGAGCUUGGCGGUGCUUUAGACUUCUCAGGGGAACCUGUCUCGUAAUCGACAUUCCACGUAUCACCUUACCUUUUUUUGCAUUGCAGUAUGUAUACCGUCGUCGGCAGGUAACUUUUAAAAAUAUAGAAGUUAGCAAGAAAACUUUUUGGUUUCUACGUCAGAUCAAGGUGCAGCUAAUAAAAAGGAGAAGAUGGGUUACAAUUAAAAUUUAUAAUCACGGAAAUGAGUAUUAACAACUACACUUGAAGGAGGACUUGAAAGUAUAAAUUAGCAAUUAAAUAUUUUGAAUGUAGCUCUGAAGCG
rnacentral:rRNA from 1 species